AAAAAGUGUGAAAUCCUACUGAUUGUUUUCUUGUUUUCAGACCAACAAUGAAGAGCGCCUUUUUCAUCCAAGAAGAAUAGAGAGCACAAGGACCAGUGUGGCUUUCUCCUUUUCAGAUCCUACUGAUGAUUUUUACCUCAUCCCUAUUACAAUGUUCAAAGCUGGUCAAAUAUCUCCAAAAUGUUUUAGUGUUACCAAUCACCAAUGUGGAGUUAAACCAUCAUAGGACAACGUUCAAUUAUUUCUUUGUACACUCUAUUUACAGAAAAUUCAAGAAAAAAAAUACAACCUGUUCUGACUAAAAGAAAGCAGUUAUGGCUAAGCAGUUACUUCAACUGAUAUUAACCUUCCACAAGAUAAUAUAUUAAUUGAGUUUAGGCUAAUGAAAGGCAUGGGAUCUCUUCUAAAAGAAUAAUUAAUGUAAGAAUCCCAGUAAGAGACGGAAAUUUUAAAUUUCUCCAAACCAAAAAAGGGGAGUAAUCAUAGAAUACAAGUGAUGCACAAACUGUCUCCAAGAAGGUCAUUUUGUUCACCAAUUUCCAUGCAAAUAUAAUAUCUCCGGGAUCUCGA
rnacentral:misc_RNA from 1 species